rnacentral:rRNA from 1 species
UACGGGGGGGGCAAGCGUUGUUCGGAAUUACUGGGCGUAAAGGGCUCGUAGGUGGCCAACUAAGUCGGACGUGAAAUCCCUCAGCUUAACUGGGGAACUGCGUCCGAUACUGGAUGGCUCGAGUUUGGGAGAGGGAUGCGGAAUUCCAGGUGUAGCGGUGAAAUGCGUAGAUAUCUGGAGGAACACCGGUGGCGAAGGCGGCAUCCUGGACCAACACUGACACUGAGGAGCGAAAGCCAGGGGAGCAAGCGGG